UACGUAGGGUGCGAGCGUUGUCCGGAAUUACUGGGCGUAAAGCGUGUGUAGGCGGUCCACUAAGUCGGGUGUGAAAGCCCUGGGCUCAACCCAGGAAGUGCACUCGAAACUGGCGGGCUAGAGUAUCGGAGAGGUUGGUGGAAUUCUCGGUGUAGAGGUGAAAUUCGUAGAUAUCGAGAGGAACACCGGUGGCGAAGGCGGCCAACUGGACGAAUACUGACGCUGAGACACGAAAGCGUGGGGAGCAAACAGG
rnacentral:rRNA from 1 species